GUAAAAAUUGUGCUUAGAAUUUAAACGUGUUGCAAGACUUAUGUGCUUAGGAAAGUGUUUAAUUUCUAAACAUAAAAAAAUAAACAUGUUUUGGCUCUCAGCACUUCGCAAUAAACAUGUUUUGGCUCUCAGCACUUUUCAAUAAACAUGUUGCUGUGCUUAACAUGUUUAGCUACUUUGUCAAGUAUAUAAAGCUAAACGUGUUUAAAUUCUAAGCACUUUCAAUAUUUAGACACUUUCCUAAAUACGUUUAGAAUUACAACACAUUUAGGCCGAAUACGGCUUUCAUAUCACGUGCUAAUUUUUGAGCGGGAAGAAGAAACAAAGAACCCGAAGUCAAAGGCCACGCUGUUUACUUCUGACCAUAUAAACUGACCGUAACUUGACUGUUUCAGAAAGGUAAGGAGUUAUGAUUAUACUGUCUUUUAUUUUGUACUGCCAAUUUUAAAUGAUUAUUGACAGUUAUAAGCAUUAUUUACAAGUACACUACCGUAUAGUCAAUGCAGAAGAGAAAAGGGGGUACCAUCCCACGAAACAAGUGCUUGUAAGAGCUUUAAGUGUUCAAACUAUCUUGUGUAUAGAUGAUAAGAGUUGUUUAAUGUGCUAUCAUGCAAGUUUGCAUUUAUUUUUUUAUUUAUAUAUGUUCUUGGAAAGGAGUUUGUGAGGAUAAUUUUCGUUCGGUACUCCUCGGCAGAUUAUAAUGGAACAUGAAGGAUAGUGGAAUCUGCCGAGUCUUAUCAGGAUGAGGUGCAUCAUUCGCAAAUCCAGUGUCAUAUCGAGUUCAUUGUUUUCGUAAGCACUUCCGAUAUGCACAAUCAACAUUUCCUCAAAAUAAAUAGAAAGAUGCUUGUUUAUUUCAAUAGUUAUAAGCGGUUGUGAUUUUUUUUAUAAUUUUAUUGAUAUGUAUUGUUUUAUUCUAGAUGAGAGAAGUGCAGAGGAAAUCAUCAUCUGUCUUGGCAUGCUAAAAGAGGAGAUAAAGAACAGUAGCAAAUAUGCUGCUAGGCCAUUGACCAGCAGUUGGGUACUAAGAAAGGAGAAGCUCUUAUUGACCUGUAAAAUGAAAACAGGACAUUUUCAAAUUGUUUUGUUGUAGGGAUGGGGUACAAGUAGAAGAUUGGUCAAUAUUAUGUACAUGUACCUUGAUAUAAAUUUAUUUUUGAUUGUGUUCAAUGAUAAACUGGAAAUAAAUGAUAACAUAAAUUC